AGCAAUUUUAGCCGUAGGUUAAAAUCCCAUUCACUGCCUUCCCUAUACUUUAAAUAUCUGUAUUUGCUACAACCUAUAUGCUCCAAACUCGACUGCAUAUCUCUAAACCAAAAGCAAAGAAAGAAAAAACCACUUAGUCGAAAUAUUAUAUAUACUCUUUAAUCACACCAACAAAAUGCAUCAAACUCGACACACCUUCUAAGACACAUUUUUUUAACCAAGUCUUAUUUUGACAGCACUCCGAAGACAACAAAACGCAGCAAAAGAAGAACUCAAAUCAAUAAACGAUUUGGCAACAUACCGGAAAGGCUUCCUCCAUAGCUAUCUUUGUGAGUUCCAUUUGUAUAAAUCUUGAGACAUUAGUUCUACAUCAAAAUUCUCCCAUUUACAUACAUAUCUUUAUGUAUUGUUUCUCAUAAGAACAAGUUUUCUAUGAAAAAAAUCCAGUUUAUGAAGGAUUACUAACGAAGUUACGAGACAUCGUAUUGAUGAGAAGAUGAAGGAGAUUGCAUAGAUGAAAGAGUAUCCAGAUCUUGGAGUAGACUAAGAAAAGAAGACAAGGAAUCAUGGACAGUAGAAAUAUUUCCCACUAUGUUUGUCAGAUAAAUGGACCCCCAUGGUAGCACUAAAGUCGUUGGAGCCUAUGUUCCCUUCUCUGCUUUCCAUGUUUGCUAUGUCCUUGACUGUAUAGUCUGAUAACAAACAUUUUACAAGUUAUAACAUAAACAAAAAGAUGUCAAUAGUUUCCCUAUAAAUUUUGCACAAAGUGAUAGAAAUAUAUGCC
rnacentral:lncRNA from 1 species